GCCUGGCUGGCUCAGUCGGUGGAGCAUGAGAUUCUUAAUCUUGGGGCCGUGAGUUCAAGCCCCACACUGAGUG
rnacentral:tRNA from 1 species